GGGGUUGUGGCUUAGCAGUACAGCACUCGUCUCACAUGUGAGAGGCCCUGUGUUCAAUCCUUAGCACCUCA
rnacentral:tRNA from 1 species